AAGGCAGGGAGUGAACAACCACACAACAACAUAUCCUAGACGAAGAUGGAAACAGACUAGAAAGGGUCGCGGCAAUAAAUUACAUCCGAAAAAUAACAGCCG
rnacentral:lncRNA from 1 species